rnacentral:rRNA from 1 species
GACGAACGCUGGCGGCGUGCUUAACACAUGCAAGUCGAACGGAAAGGCCCUGCUUUUGUGGGGUGCUCGAGUGGCGAACGGGUGAGUAACACGUGAGUAACCUGCCCUUGACUUUGGGAUAACUUCAGGAAACUGGGGCUAAUACCGGAUAGGAGCUCCUGCUGCAUGGUGGGGGUUGGAAAGUUUCGGCGGUUGGGGAUGGACUCGCGGCUUAUCAGCUUGUUGGUGGGGUAGUGGCUUACCAAGGCUUUGACGGGUAGCCGGCCUGAGAGGGUGACCGGCCACAUUGGGACUGAGGUACGGCCCAGACUCGUACGGGAGGCAGAAGUGGGGAAUAUUACACAAUGGGCGGGAGCGUGAUGCAGCAACGCCGCGUGCGGGAUGACGGCCUUCGGGUUGUAAACCGCUUUCGCCUGUGACGAAGCGUGAGUGACGGUAAUGGGUAAAGAAGCACCGGCUAACUACGUG